GACGAACGCUGGCGGCGUGCUUAACACAUGCAAGUCGAACGGUGAAGCGCCUUCCUUUUUGGUGGGUGUGGAUGAGUGGCGAACGGGUGAGUAACACGUGAGUAACCUGCCCCCUUCUUCUGGAUAACCGCAUGAAAGUGUGGCUAAUACGGGAUAUUCUGGGUCUGUCGCAUGAUGGGUCUGGGAAAGAUAUUGUUUCGGUGGGGGAUGGGCUCGCGGCCUAUCAGCUUGUUGGUGGGGUGAUGGCCUACCAAGGCGGUGACGGGUAGCCGGCCUGAGAGGGUGGACGGGCACACUGGGACUGAGACACGGCCCGGACUCCUACGGGAGGCAGCAGUGGGGAAUAUUGCACAAUGGGAGCAAGCCUGAUGCAGCGUCGCCGCGUGAGGGAUGGAGGCCUUCGGGUUGUGAACCUCUUUCGCCAGUGAAGCAGGCCUGCCUCGUUUGUGGGUGGGUUGACGGUAGCUGGAUAAGAAGCGCCGGCUAACUACGUG
rnacentral:rRNA from 1 species